rnacentral:rRNA from 1 species
GGGUACUCGAGCGGCGAACGGGUGAGUAACACGUGAGCAACCUGCCCUAGGCUUUGGGAUAACCCCGGGAAACCGGGGCUAAUACCGAAUAGGACUGCUGGUCGCAUGACUGGUGGUGGAAAGUUUUUCGGCCUGGGAUGGGCUCGCGGCCUAUCAGCUUGUUGGUGGGGUGAUGGCCUACCAAGGCGACGACGGGUAGCCGGCCUGAGAGGGCGACCGGCCACACUGGGACUGAGACACGGCCCAGACUCCUACGGGAGGCAGCAGUGGGGAAUAUUGCACAAUGGGCGGAAGCCUGAUGCAGCGACGCCGCGUGAGGGAUGACGGCCUUCGGGUUGUAAACCUCUUUCAGCAGGGACGAAGCGUGAGUGACGGUACCUGCAGAAGAAGCGCCGGCCAACUACGUGCCAGCAGCCGCGGUAAGACGUAGGGCGCGAGCGUUGUCCGGAUUUAUUGGGCGUAAAGAGCUCGUAGGCGGCUUGUCGCGUCGACCGUGAAAACUUGGGGCUCAACCCCAAGCCUGCGGUCGAUACGGGCAGGCUAGAGUUCGGUAGGGGAGACUGGAAUUCCUGGUGUAGCGGUGAAAUGCGCAGAUAUCAGGAGGAACACCGGUGGCGAAGGCGGGUCUCUGGGCCGAUACUGACGCUG